rnacentral:rRNA from 1 species
GACGAACGCUGGCGGCGUGCUUAACACAUGCAAGUCGAACGAAGUGGCGAACGGGUGAGUAAUACGUGGGUAACCUGCCCUCCUUUUUGGGAUAAGCCUUGGAAACGGGGUCUAAUACCGAAUAAAGGGGGAUGGGCUCGCGGCCUAUCAGCUUGUUGGUGGGGUGAAGGCCUACCAAGGCGGUGACGGGUAGCCGGCCUGAGAGGGUGACCGGAAACGUGGGGAGUGAGAUACGGCCCAGUCACGUACGGGAGGCGGAAGUGGGGGAUAGUGCGCAAUGGGCGAGAGCCUGAUGCAGCGACGCAGCGUGGGGGAUGGAGGCUUUCGGGUUGUAAACCUCUUUCGCUAUCGAAGGGGUAGGUGGAGAAGAAGCGCCGGCUAACUACGUGCCAGCAGCCGCGGUAAUAC